GAUGAACGCUAGCGGCAGGCCUAACACAUGCAAGUCGAACGAUAUUUUCCAGCUUGCUGGGAGAAAAAGUGGCGCACGGGUGCGUAACGCGUAUGCAACCUACCUUUAUCAGGGGGAUAGCCCGGAGAAAUCCGGAUUAAUACCGCAUAAAAUCACAGAACGGCAUUGUUCAAUGAUCAAACAUUUAUGGGAUAAAGAUGGGCAUGCGUGUCAUUAGCUAGUUGGCGGGGUAACGGCCCACCAAGGCGACGAUGACUAGGGGAUCUGAGAGGAUGGCCCCCCCACUGGUACUGAGACACGGACCAGACGCCUACGGGAGGCAGCAGUGAGGAAUAUUGGACAAUGGGCGCAAGCCUGAUCCAGCCAUGCCGCGUGCAGGAAGACGCAUCUAUGGUGUGUAAACUGCUUUUGUACGGGAAGAAACACUCCUACGUGUAGGAGCUUGACGGUACCGUAAGAAUAAGGAUCGGCUAACUCCGUGCCAGCAGCCGCCGUAAAAC
rnacentral:rRNA from 1 species